rnacentral:lncRNA from 1 species
CAAAACUUUAUCAAUUUCUUAUAUUUUAUCUGCUGCAAACAUCCUUCUAUUAUUCCACUCAGGACCACUCCCCAAUCCAAGAAACAGCUGGAUAGACUCGACCUAUUUCAGACUCAGCCAGACUUGCCAAGUCAUCAUAUUACAUGCGGUCUGUUGACUGAUAAGCCCGUUCUAAUAUCCCCAAUUGAUGGAGAGGAUUUUUGGCCUCAGCUAAAAUCUUCCGUUGACACUCUGCCCAGGCUGUUAUGAGGUCUCAUGUAGGCUGAAUACUUGCCCAAGUCAUAAAAGUCUACAUCAUCAAGGCAUCUGUGGACCAAGACCAGAGCUUCAUAGAUAAUCCAAAUGAAGAAAUCAAGAAGUUGGUUAAAUCAACAAUCCUGGAGCUCAGUGGGGUAAACUGAAACCGGAAACAUUUAAAUAUUGUUAGCAUGCAGGUGACAUUUAAAGCCACAAGACCAGAAAAGAUGAUCUACAAAGAGGGUAUAAUUUGA